ACGGGCUUAGUCUAAUGGCAAAACACUUGGCUCUGACCCAAGAUUUGUUGGUUCGACCCCAGCAGCCCGUG
rnacentral:tRNA from 1 species